rnacentral:rRNA from 1 species
CCCACUGCUAUCGGGAUGGGGCUAAGACAUGCUAGUCGAGCGUCUCCAAGCCAUGGUGGAGGCGCGGCACACAGCUCAGUAACACGUGGCUAACCUGUCCUUGGGACAGGGACAACCCCGGGAAACUGGGGCUAAUCCCUGAUAGGUGAGAACUCCUGGAAUGGAUUCUCGCUCAAAGGGCGUCUAGGCCAUGCUUCUAGGCGUUGCCCAAGGAGGGGGCCGCGGCCGAUCAGGUUGUUGGUGAGGUAAUGGCUCACCAAGCCUUUAACCGGUACGGGCCGUGAGAGCGGUAGCCCGGAGAUGGGCACUGAGACAAGGGCCCAGGCCCUACGGGGCGCAGCAGUCGCGAAAACUCCGCAAUUCACGAAAGUGUGACGGGGCCAUCCCGAGUGCCAUCCGCUGAGGAUAGCUUUUCCCCAGUGUACAAAGCUGGGGGAAUAAGGAGAGGGCAAGCCUGGUGUCAGCCGCCGCGGUAAUACCAGCUCUCCGAGUGGUGGGGAUGCUUAUUGGGCCUAAAGCAUUCGUAGCCGGCUGGGCAAGUCCUCCGUUAAAUCCAACGAUUCAAUCGUUGGGCUGCGGGGGAUACUGUCUGGCUAGGGGGCGGGAGAGGUCGACGGUAUUCUCGGGGUAGGGGUGAAAUCCUAUAAUCCCGGGAGGACCACCAGUGGCGAAGGCUGUCGACUAGAACGCGCCCGACGGUGAGGGAUGAAAGCUGGGGUAGCGAACCGGAUUAGAUACCUGGGUAGUCCCAGCUGUAAACGAUGCAGGCUAGGUGUUGGCGCGGCUACGUGCCGCUCCAGUGCCGCAGGGAAGCUGUUAAGCCUGCCGCCUGGGAAGUACGGCCGCAAGGCUGAAACUUAA